UACGGAGGGUGCAAGCAUUGAUCGGAAUUACUGGGCGUAAAGGGUGCGUAGGCGGUCGGGUAAGUCUGAUGUGAAAUCUCACAGCUUAACUGUGAAACUGCAUUGGAUACUAUCCGGCUCGAGGAAUGGAGGGGAGACUGGAAUACUUGGUGUAGCAGUGAAAUGCGUAGAUAUCAAGUGGAACACCAGUGGCGAAGGCGAGUCUCUGGACAUUUCCUGACGCUGAGGCACGAAAGCCAGGGGAGCAAACGGG
rnacentral:rRNA from 1 species